rnacentral:lncRNA from 1 species
AUACAAAUCCUACUCAUAUCUAAAUUGGAAUUCGUUUUAAACAGAUAUAAUAACGAAAAUUUAGCAUCCGACACAUAUUCGUAUCAGAAUUCACAUUCAAAAAAAUAUAUAUGAAUAUGGAUAUGGUUUUGUAAAAAAUCUAACCGUAUUCGAUCGUUUUCAUCCCUGCUCGUUCCUGUUUAAUUUUACAGUAAUUAUCCAACAAC